CUUCCACUUCCCCAAUCUCUCUCGGUUUACUCCCUCUCCCUCUAUGAUGUUACUUCAUCCCAAAAUUAGGGAAUUUCCCAAAUCAAGAUCCCCAAAUUGCAGAAGCUCCAAAGUUCGUCGCCUUCAAUUCACUUCCCGUCGCCGUCUGCUGCGUAUUCCACCCAGGAGCGCCACUGCAGCGAGAGGGGAGGACGGUCGCCGCUGCUCGCUGCCCGCGGCUCACUGCUCACUGCCCGCGGCUCAAACACGCACCGUCGGGAAGUGCUGUUGCUGUCAGACGGAACUGCUGUCUCGGGUCAGCCUUCGCCAGGCUCCGUUGUGCGCUGUUGUACCGUCGCGGUCCAGAUCCUUCACCAUCGCGGUAGACGACCAUCAUCAGCAGUCAUCGUUGAACCGCUGCCUUCCGGCAUUCCCAGCUGUCGGGCAGUCCGAAAACAGCCCCGAAUCGCCACCGGUAGUCCCGACCGAGCGCGAAAACUACCCCAUAAGCAUCCGGCAGCCCCAUUAACUAUUCUCAACAACCCCGAACAGCCCCGAAACCAACCCCAAAGCAGCCCCGCCAGACAAGUUCUCAUUCCAAGAAAGGGAUUAUACCUCAAGAAUUUGAACUUGGUUGUGGUUGAAACAAAAUGGAAGCAACAAUUCCUUCUACUUCUUCUCCUCUCGGCUCCCUCCCUCUCUCUCAAUUUGCUCAUUGUAAAGUGUGUAUUGUGAGGAGUUAGGGAAGAGGUUACAUGAAGAAGUAAUGGGUGACCUUUGGUUUGUAGGAUUAAUGGUGGAAGAUGGAGAGUGGAGAAGUUGAAGAUGGGGAGUCUCCACUUGAAGAAACCGUUGAUCAUGAAGAGGAGAAGAAGAAAAAGAAGAUCUUUGGGCUUACUCCCAUAUUUUGGAAAAUGUAUUGGGCUCAACAUAAUUUAUUUAAAUUAGUUUGGGCUCAUUUAGUUGCAAAGCCCCAAAUUUGUAUAAUUAUCUAUUUGUUGGACCUUCUGAUUGUCAUGGCCCAAAGCCAUUUUUAAUAAAAACAUUUCGACUCAAAUUUUUAUUUGAGAAACCCAAGAGUAUAUAUUUUGCAUUCUCUCA